rnacentral:lncRNA from 1 species
UCUGAUCUGGAGAAGAUGGUAUAGACUUGUUUCUUCCUGCUCUUGCCAUGAAGGACAACUGGAAACCCUGGAAGUCAUGCAGGAAGUGACCAGAGAACUUUGAGAGACCACUGGGGGUAUUGAUUACAGUUCGGGCUACAUUCGCACUGACCCAGGAACUCUGGAACAAGCCUGUGGUGCUUGCAUAUGCAGUGUCGUGGUGAUCCUAAUUGAGCACCAUCUGGGAUUCAGACACAAUUGACCGUAUCUGGAAAAGCGAUGCGAUGAGCCUGCUAAAACCCGUCUUGGAAGAGUGACCAUCCUGGUUGC